AGCUUCGCCUGCGAGCUGGGUUGUGUAAAGGCUGGUCAUUUUGGGGCGCUUAGGGGUGGGUGCCGGGGGGCGCGCUUUCCCUCGUGAAGGUCGCUCCAGGAGUCAUGCGUACAUUCGUUCAUUUUGCUCUGGACGCACUGAUGUUCCCGGCUCGCCGCCGUGCCGCAGUCACGAGGCUCUCCGAACGCCUUUCACUGUGUUUCUGUUUACAUUCGCGUCUGCAAGACCCGGCGGCGCGACCGAGGCCCGAACAGAUGGAGAUGGGCUGCCAUGUUGUGAGCUGCCCCAUGGGGAAGAGGCUCACAUGUGAGGAACUGAGGGAGGCCUCCAGAAAACAGCCAGUGAAGAACUGAGACCCUCAGUCCAAUAGCCUAUGAGGAACUGAAUCCUGCUGACAACCAUAUGAAUGAGCUUGGAAGCAGAUCCUUCCCCAGUGAAGCCUUCAUGUGAGACUGCAGCCCACUUGACACUUUGAUUUGUAGCUUGUGACAGACCCCAAGCCAGAAGAGUCAGGACUUCUCCAGCUCCAUUUACAGUCUGGCUCCUGGGCCUUUGGAUCCCAGCAGUGUCCGAGCAGGAGCUCAAAGGACAGCCCCACCAUGGGGGAUCAGCCCUAGAAGCUGUCACUACAUCUCCAACGGACGCAACUAUUUUCCAGGUGAAUGAGCUUCCUGCCCAUAGGAGAAAGGGUAAAAUCACAAGGUGGUGCCCUUGUCUCCAAAUCUCAAGGUCCUCUGGAUGGCAGGUGAGUAAAGGUGACUCUUGUGAUUAUGGGUGUUUUGGGUGUUCCUCAGAGAUCCCCCAAACUGGGGUCUUGUCCACCAUUCCCAGGACUCUGCCAUGUGGAGCCAUGGGAAUGUGAAGUUCACCUCACACUUCCUUUCAGCUGAGGUCACCACACAGCCCCUACCAGCCCGGCUAUAUUGGGUGGGAUUUCAGAUGCCCCCACAAUGGCUGCCUUGGAGACUUUCCACUGGUCCUCAAGAAGCAACAACGCUCCCCUUGCUCUGCCUUUGGUGGAGGGCAAUUCCUCCUCUCUCUCUGCCUGGCCCCAGGCUGCUUCCACUGUCUCAGAAACUGGUCCCCGGAUUCCCCCAGUUACAGAGAACCCUCAUCAAGCUCUCAAGUGGCCACUGAAACCCAGGCUCUCUAGGCUCUGGAGUAUGGAAGUGACAGCUCCAUUUAAUUUCUCCUUUCCUCUUGUAGGCUUACAGCAUAGCACUCUCCCAAGAAAUCAUCCAAAAAUUACCUCAACCAUUCUAUAGACCCCAAGCUGACCAGGGGAGGGAGGACCAAGAAUCUUGAAACGUAAAUACUACAUUUGAUGGUCUCCUUCAGACUUAUUUUGGGAUCUGAUAUCUCUUUAACAAAAAUUAUAAAAAUUGAGGCAAAGAGAGCCCCAUUUUUUAUAUACUGUUCUAAUAAAUAACAGGUACCCUUAGAAGAAUGCAGACAAACACUCCUAUGGAAAUUUAAAGGAGCAUAAGACUUCUUGCAGUAUAGGGAGAGAACCAAGGAAGACUUCCUGGAGGAAAUGGCCAUUGAACUGGGCCUUGGACAUGUGGAGGUGAGGGAUGAGAGUAUUCCAGAUGAAGAGUCCAGCAUAGGGAAGGCCCACAGGAAGGAAUUGUGCUGUAUUAAUGCUGUCUUAGAGGCAUUUCCAUUGCCAGACACAGAUACUCAAAUUACUUCAGAGAGAGAGAGAGAGAGUAUUGAAAGGGUUUCUGUGAAUACCUCCACAACUGUGGUUCUCAAAGUGUAAUCCCUGGGCCAGCAGCAUCGGCAUCACCUGGGAACUUGUUAGAAAUGCAGAUUCCCAGGCUGGGUGCAGUGGCUCACGCCUGUAACCCUAGCACUUUGGGAGUCCGAGGUGGGUGGAUCACCUGAGGUUGGGAGUUUGAGACCAGCCUGACCAACAUGGAGAAACCCUGUCUCUACUAAAAAUACAAAAAGCCAGGUGUGGUGGCGCAUGCCUGUAAUCCCAGCUGCUUGGGAGGCUGAGGCAGGAGAAUCGCUUGAACCCGGG
ensembl:lncRNA LINC02245 long intergenic non-protein coding RNA 2245